CACUCAGCAGGAUUACUAGCGCAACGACACAUCAUCAGUAGGGUAAAACUAACCUGUCUCACGACCGUCUAAGCCCAGCUCACGUUCCCU